AGAGUUUGAUCCUGGCUCAGAGCGAACGCUGGCGGCAUGCUUAACACAUGCAAGUCGCACGGGCACUUCGGUGUCAGUGGCGGACGGGUGAGUAACGCGUAGGAAUCUAUCUCCGGGUGGGGGACAACCGUGGGAAACUACGGCUAAUACCGCAUGAUACCUGAGGGUCAAAGGCGCAAGUCGCCUGGAGAGGAGCCUGC
rnacentral:rRNA from 1 species